rnacentral:rRNA from 1 species
CCCUUAGAUGUUCUGGGCCGCACGCGCGCUACACUGAUGCAUUCAACGAGUCUAAAACCUGGUCUGAUAGGGCUGGGUAAUCUUUUGAAAGUGCAUCGUGAUUGGGAUAGAUGAUUGCAAUUCUUCAUCUUCAACGAGGAAUGCCUAGUAAACGCAAGUCAUCAGCUUGCAUUGAUUACGUCCCUGCCCUUUGUACACACCGCCCGUCGCUCCUACCGAUUGAAUGAUCCGAUGAAUACCAUGGAUUGAGAGUACGAAUGGGUUCGCUCAUUUCUGCUGCUCGAGAAGUGGAGGAAAUCUUAUCAUUUAGAGGAAGGAGAAGUCGUAACA